AGCCUGAAGAUUUAUUUCAGGUGAAGCCUGCCCAGUGCUCUUGAAGUAAACGGCCGCAGUACCUUGACUGUGCUAAGGUAGCAUAAUCAGUUGGCUCUUAAAUGGAGUCGGGAAUGAAUGGACCAAUGUAGUUAAGCUGUCUCUUUUAUACUUAAUUGAAUUUGUUUAUUAGGUGAAAAUACCUAUAAUAAGAAAAAAGACGAGAAGACCCUAGGAGUUUUUAUUAAAAAGUUAUAUAAUAUCUUUACAUUUUUGUUGGGGCGACAAGGGAAAAUUUAUAAACAACUUCCUUUUAAUAUAUGCCGACUUCUAGUAUGGAAAAUUAAACUACCCUAGGGAUAACAGCGUAAUUCUUUUUGAGUUUGCGACCUCGAUGUUGGACUAGGAAUUAUUUAGGUUAGCCGCCUACUUUUAUUGUUCUGUUCGAACUAAUUUUCCU
rnacentral:rRNA from 1 species